GAGCAGCCCACGACAGGAAAACAAAGAUGGCCAAAAUGGAGAGGGAAAAUGUAGCGAAUGCACAAAGAAGUUUAAAAAUAGUAUGGAAUCUUGCAGCAAGUGCUGCUGCAAACUUAUUAAACUUUGCAGAUGCACAAAUUGCAGUAACGGAUGCACAGAAGUGUUUGAAAGAAACAAAGCAGAGUUUCAUGCCUUUCUGUUUUUUAGCUCUAGCUAUGCAUUUACAUGUAUUAAUCUGUUGAUUAAUUGGUCUAGAACGCCAAAACAGUGGCUGUGGUGGCUAUUAGUCCCUUCAAUCUUUUUACUCUACGUAGUCGUUUAUGUCAACUAAUGUAUCAACUUUUAUCGAAAAAUGUAUACUAAUUGACAGCUUUAGUAAGACAAUCAAAACUGAAUUACUUUCCAUAACGUUUCUUUUUGGCCUCGGGACGACUUUACAAACAGACGUUUAAUGCAAGCCUCGAGGAACUUUUGCAUAUUCCAUAUUGGUGACACAAUGUUUAUUAAAUUAUUUAUAUAUAUGAUUUUCUCUAGUUUAGUAUGUAACGUUAACAGAUAUGCCAUUAUCAGGAAUGUAAUCAAUAAUAUUUCUUUGCAGCUUAAUGAAUAUGUCCAAUCUGACUAAAGUACUUUAUGUUCUAAACAAAGAUCUGAGAAUUACACAUUCACAUUCGUCUUCUGUAUAUUUUGGAUUUCUGAUAUUGCUAUUUUUAUUUUCGCAAAUGUAUUUCAAUUUGAACCAAUCAGACGACAUGUUUCAACAAGCAUUUGGCUGAACCAUCAAAAUAACGUAGAAUGCACAAAAGGUGAGAAAUGUGCAGUCAGUCCGGGGCUUGAACCCGGGAACCCUCGUUUACAGGGCGAGUGCCCUGUCGACUGAGGUAACCGGCUGUCUGACACCUUAACUGAUCAAGUCCGCACCAUGUCAUAUGAUUUCUCUCAAAACACGCGGGCGUAGCUGCGAUGUGGUUUUCAUUAAAUAUAUAUACGAAAAUUCCAGGCUAAAUAUAGAUUUUUUAAAAUUUCUACUUUCAUAGACAAAAUGUACGUAAGGCUCUGAAUGGCUAGCGGAAGGAACGAGGCUACCAAUAGCACGUCCCCAGAUCUAAUGUGCGUAGCGUUAAUUGGAGAUGUAUUUUAGUCAGAUUGUGAAUAUAUUUUUCUUUGUAAUGGUCCAUAUAAGUGAUACAUAAACGUAUAAUCAUUAUAUCGAACCCACUUGUCAUCUUUUGUGCUCAAAGUGUAUUAAAUAACUGACAUGACUUAGCAUGCAUUUCCAUUAAUUUCAUAACAAGAGCUUAUCGGGAUUAUGUUUUUUUCUCUUUGGACAUCACUGUCCUCGUUUUGUUAUGCUAGAACUAAGAACUGAUGUCCUAUGUAGUCAUUUUAACAAUAAAGUAUUUA